CACGAGAGUUUGUAACACCCGAAGCCGGUGGAGUAACCUUUUAGGAGCUAGCCGUCGAAGGUGGGACAAAUGAUUGGGGUGAAGUCGUAACAAGGUAGCCGUAUCGGAAGGUGCGGCUGGAUCACCUCCUUUCUAAGGA
rnacentral:rRNA from 1 species